UACGUAGGGUGCGAGCGUUAAUCGGAAUUACUGGGCGUAAAGCGCACGUAGGCGGAUAUUUAAGUCAGGGGUGAAAUCCCGGGGCUCAACCCCGGAACUGCCUUUGAUACUGGGUAUCUCGAGUCCGAGAGAGGUGAGUGGAAUUCCGAGUGUAGAGGUGAAAUUCGUAGAUAUUCGGAAGAACACCAGUGGCGAAGGCGGCUCACUGGACUGGUAUUGACGCUGAGGUGCGAAAGCGUGGGGAGCAAACAGG
rnacentral:rRNA from 1 species